GGAGAGAUAGCUCAGUGAUUAAGAGCACUGAUUGCUUUUCAGAGGACCUGGGUUCAAGUCCUAGCACUUACCA
rnacentral:tRNA from 1 species